AGUGAACGCUGGCGGUAGGCCUAACACAUGCAAGUCGAACGGCAGCACAGUAAGAGCUUGCUCUUACGGGUGGCGAGUGGCGGACGGGUGAGGAAUACAUCGUAAUCUACUUUUUCGUGGGGGAUAACGUAGGGAAACUUACGCUAAUACCGCAUACGACCUACGGUUGAAAGCAGGGGAUCUUCGGACCUUGCGCGAUUGAAUGAGCCGAUGUCGGAUUAGCUAGUUGGCGGGGUAAAGGCCCACCAAUGCGACGAUCCGUAGCUGGUCUGAGAGGAUGAUCAGCCACACUAGAACUGAGACACGGUCAAGACUCCUACGGGAGGCAGCAGUGGGGAAUAUUGGACAAUGGGCGCAAGCCUGAUCCAGCCAUACCGCGUGGGUGAAGAAGGCCUUCGGGUUGGAAAGCCCUUUUGUUGGGAAAGAAAAGCAGCAGGUUAAUACCACGCUGUUCUGACGGUACCCAAAGAAUAAGCACCGGCUAACUUCGUG
rnacentral:rRNA from 1 species